rnacentral:misc_RNA from 1 species
AUAACGGCUAUGACUACUUUAACAUGAUUUUAGUUAUUUGCAAUUUUAUCUAUUCAAGUGAUGCUACUUUUGGUUUUGAAAUGGUGCAUUUAUUGAAGGGUUUGAUUUGCCUUGUGGUUGUGGAGAUCAUUUUUACCUCUGUUUUCUGUAUAAUAAUGUAUGUUAGAGUGCAAAGAAAUUCAUGCUUAGGUAAGAGGAUAUAGCUAUGUCUAACAUGAUUUUAGAUCAAAUGCAACUUUAUCCAAAGUGAUUCUACUAUUGGUGUUGAAUUGUGCCUUUGUUAAAGGGUUUGAUUUUGUGUGUGGUUUGUAUGUCAUUAUCUGUGUCUCUGGUUUAUUCUUUAUUGUCUAGUCAUGUUAAUCACAUUGUAAAAGAAAGUUGCAUUUAAAUUUUUAGUUGGCAAUGUGGCAUUGAUUUUGG